AUAUAUACACAUUAUUUAUAUAUGUAUACACACAUGUGAAAAUGUGUAUAUGAGUAUCUAUAUACAUUAUAAAUGUAUAUAAGUAUAUA
rnacentral:miRNA from 12 species